UAAUAAUAAUAAUAAUAAUAAUAAUAAUAAUAAUAAUAAAAUUCCACCUCUCGUGCCUACCUCUGCCAUCCACCACUUUCCUAUUUUUCAAUUCAAAACUUCUCCAAUUUCAAAGAACAAGGCAAUAAUUUUUUUCCCUUUACUCGAUUGAGUUGCCCUUUUGUUUACUAGUGAAUUUCCAACUUCUUUUCUUUGGAUUCUCUAUGUAAUAGCGAUUAUUUUCAAGCUUUUCAGGAGGUGGUGAAUGCGGAUUCCGUUGUUCUUGGGGAGACAGCUGACGAAGGAGGAGGGAGGUGGACUAGGCAUUAUACUUUUGUAGACUGUCAUCGCAAAUUAGAAGCACUAUCUUGCUUUUGAAAGGCUUGGGAAGAGGUGGGGAAAUUUAGAGUUGAAGGUGUUGGAGAAGCUUUCGGUUAAUCUUUGGGCUGCUUCACCAUUUCGUUGGGCUUUAUGAAACUUCAAAUUAUUUGAGGGUCAAAUAUGUGUAAAAUUGUGUUUUUUUGAAGAUUACAUUUUAUGACUCUUAUGGGUUGGGUUGGGUUGGGUUGGGUUGGGCUGGACUGUGCCGUACACGUGGCAUAGUUCCAACCCUUGGAUAAAUCGGUUCAUAUGAAUAGAUAUUUACUUGGCUCUUGGUCUUCAGAAGUGGCUGCAUGGUUUUUCAGUUUUUAGAAUUCUCUUUUUUCUCUCUCUGUGAGGGUUUCUUCUUCGUGUUCCUUUCUUUCUGUACAUCG
rnacentral:lncRNA from 1 species